rnacentral:rRNA from 1 species
AGAGUUUGAUCAUGGCUCAGGACGAACGCUGGCGGCGCGCCUAACACAUGCAAGUCGAACGAGCGAGAGAGAGCUUGCUUUCUCAAGCGAGUGGCGAACGGGUGAGUAACGCGUGAGGAACCUGCCUCAAAGAGGGGGACAACAGUUGGAAACGACUGCUAAUACCGCAUAAGCCCACAGGUCGGCAUCGACCGGAGGGAAAAGGAGCAAUCCGCUUUGAGAUGGCCUCGCGUCCGAUUAGCUAGUUGGUGAGGUAACGGCCCACCAAGGCAACGAUCGGUAGCCGGACUGAGAGGUUGAACGGCCACAUUGGGACUGAGACACGGCCCAGACUCCUACGGGAGGCAGCAGUGGGGAAUAUUGCACAAUGGGGGAAACCCUGAUGCAGCGACGCCGCGUGGAGGAAGAAGGUCUUCGGAUUGUAAACUCCUGUUGUUGAGGAAGAUAAUGACGGUACUCAACAAGGAAGUGACGGCUAACUACGUGCCAGCAGCCGCGGUAAAACGUAGGUCACAAGCGUUGUCCGGAAUUACUGGGUGUAAAGGGAGCGCAGGCGGGAAGACAAGUUGGAAGUGAAAUCUAUGGGCUCAACCCAUAAACUGCUUUCAAAACUGUUCUUCUUGAGUAGUGCAGAGGUAGGCGGAAUUCCCGGUGUAGCGGUGGAAUGCGUAGAUAUCGGGAGGAACACCAGUGGCGAAGGCGGCCUACUGGGCACCAACUGACGCUGAGGCUCGAAAGUGUGGGUAGCAAACAGGAUUAGAUACCCUGGUAGUCCACACCGUAAACGAUGAUUACUAGGUGUUGGAGGAUUGACCCCUUCAGUGCCGCAGUUAACACAAUAAGUAAUCCAU